AGUUUUUCUAUGAAAGUGAUUACAUCUUCCGACUCUGACAGUGGUGAUUAUGGUUACAAACGUAGAAAUGGAUAUUGCACUAAUAAAGGUUAUAGGGGUUGUGUAUCAGGAUAUACUUAUUAUAGCAGAAAUGGAGAUUGCAAAUAUGACAAUAAGUCGUGGAGGUAUACUUGCAACUCUUAUAUAGGAUGCUGUCUUCCGCGUUACCAAUCUAGCAAAAGAUUUGACUGCAUAAAAAAAUACGACUGUCCUAGAAAUUACUUUUAUUAUAACAACAGA